rnacentral:tRNA from 1 species
GGUGCUAUAGUGUAGUGGUUAUCACUCGGGAUUUUGACUUCCAUCAAUAUUCCCGAAACCCAGGUUCGAACCCUGGUAGGACCU